rnacentral:rRNA from 1 species
UACAGAGGGUGCGAGCGUUGUUCGGAAUUACUGGGCGUAAAGCGCGCGCAGGCGGCCCUUUAAGUCUACCCGUGAAAUGCCGGAGCUCAACUCCGUGCACGCCGGGGGGAUACUGGAGGGCUGGAGACAGGUAGAGGCAGGCGGAAUUCCGGGUGUAGCGGUGGAAUGCGUAGAGAUCCGGAAGAACACCAGAGGCGAAGGCGGCCUGCUGGGCCUUGUCUGACGCUGAGGCGCGAAAGCGUGGGGAGCAAACAGG